rnacentral:rRNA from 1 species
UACGGAGGGUGCAAGCGUUAUCCGGAUUCACUGGGUUUAAAGGGUGCGUAGGUGGGUUUGUAAGUCAGUGGUGAAAUCUCCGAGCUUAACUCGGAAACUGCCAUUGAUACUAUAGAUCUUGAAUUAUCUGGAGGUGAGCGGAAUAUGUCAUGUAGCGGUGAAAUGCUUAGAUAUGACAUAGAACACCAAUUGCGAAGGCAGCUCACUACGGAUAUAUUGACACUGAGGCACGAAAGCGUGGGGAUCAAACAGG